UACAGAGGGGGCAAGCGUUAUUCGGAAUUAUUGGGCGUAAAGGGCGCGUAGGCGGCUUUGCAAGUGACGGGUGAAAUCCCUCGGCUUAACCGAGGAACUGCCUGUCAAACUGCAUGGCUUGAGACCGGGAGAGGUGAGUGGAAUUCCCAGUGUAGCGGUGAAAUGCGUAGAUAUUGGGAGGAACACCAGUGGCGAAGGCGGCAUCCUGGCCCUGUCCUGACGCUCAGGGGCGAAAGCGUGGGGAGCAAACCGG
rnacentral:rRNA from 1 species